rnacentral:rRNA from 1 species
AUGGCAUCUUCCUCAAGCUCCACCGCAGCCCUAAACACCCAAGUCACAGAGAAACUCACCCGCCAAAACUAUAUCCUAUGGCGUGCCCAAAUCCUUCCUCAAGUUCGCAGCGCCAGCCUCUAUGGUCUCCUCGACGGCACUGAUCCUGAGCCGGCCAAACUUGUUUCCGUCAAGGACAAGGACGGGAAGGACAAUACCAUCACCAAUCGUGAGCACGCGAUCUGGGUCAGGCAAGACCAGCUCAUGCUCGGCUAUCUUCUGAACAAUCUGACGAAAGAAGUGCUCGUACAGGUAGUAUCAAUCCCCACCUCGCGCGCUCUCUGGACUUACCUGGAAAACAUGUUCUCUUCAACCUCCCGCAGCCGCAUCAACAAUCUUCGGAUGUCCCUCACCAACGCGCAGAAGGGAUCACAAGAUGUCACCACCUACUUCGCCUACAUGCGGUCGCUAGCUGAUGACUUGGCAGCCGCUGGCAGACCGCUCGACGAUGAUGAACUCAUCUCCCACAUCCUCUCUGGGCUGGAUCUUGACUAUCAGCCGUUGAUCUCCGCCCUGGACGUCCGCACCAAGCCACUCUCCAUCGACCUUCUGUUUGCCCUUAUGUCCAACUUUGAUCAAAGGGUCGAGUUGUUCCAAGGGUCCAACUCCUCUGGCGGCUUCAAGUCUUCUGCGAAUGUCGCUGCUCGUGGUGGUCGGGGCCCUACCAAGGGCUAUCGCGGCCCUUCCAAGGGCAACUCCAGCGGCGGUGGUGGAUCUCGCAGCGGUGGUGGCGGCGGCUACAACCCUAGCGGCCACAACUCCAGUGGUGGCGGCCAUGGUGGCUAUCACCAGAACCAGCAAGGCGGCGGUGGAAGUCGUCAAAACGGUGGUCGCCCCUUCUACUCCAACAACAGGGGCUACCAAGGAGGUGGAUAA